GGCGUGGUGGCGGAGUGGUUAUCGCGCAAGACUAGAAAUCUUGUUCCUUCGGGAGCGCAGGUUCGAAUCCUGCCUACGUCG
rfam:Phaeosphaeria nodorum SN15 scaffold_27, whole genome shotgun sequence.